rnacentral:rRNA from 1 species
GAUGAACGCUGGCGGCGUGCUUAACACAUGCAAGUCGAACGGAGUGCCUUUGAAAGAGGAUUCGUCCAAUUGAUAAGGUUACUUAGUGGCGGACGGGUGAGUAACGCGUGAGGAACCUGCCUUGGAGUGGGGAAUAACACAGUGAAAAUUGUGCUAAUACCGCAUAAUGCAGUUGGGUCGCAUGACUCUGACUGCCAAAGAUUUAUCGCUCUGAGAUGGCCUCGCGUCUGAUUAGCUAGUUGGUGGGUAACGCCCACCAAGGCGACGAUCAGUAGCCGGACUGAGAGGGUUGGCCGGCACAGUUGGGACUGGAGACACGGCCCAGACUCCGUACGGGAGCAGCAGGUGGGGAAUAGUUGGG